rnacentral:lncRNA from 1 species
AAACAAAACAAAGCUUUAAAGUUAAAAAGCAUACCAACAAGGAGUCAAGGAGAUGGAGCUGACCACAUAAGGUAUAUUAUUAUGUUUAUGAUGAAUAGUACCCUUAAUUGCUAUUCCUCUCUUAGUAAUCAUGAUAGAAUGUGAGAUUCCAGUAAUAGAAGUCAAAUUAAUCUUUUAAUCCUUAUGCUAGUUGUCGUACUCUUGAAGAAAAGUUUAGUAUUGGCAAUGCUUUCUUAAGAAAUGUAUGAUGAAUUUAUUUUGCAUCGUAUAUUAAACUCAUCCAUAACUCUGCGAUUUUCACUUUAAGUACAACCAUACACAAUUUAAAUAUCAUGCACUAACUUGAAGAUUUUACCAAUCCCACUAAUAAAGAAUUAGUGCAAAUUGGGAAGUUUAGAAAGCAUUUGGUCCUACCAAUUGGACGGUGCCAACCCAUUGUUCCCCAUAUAUAAAAGGCCUAGUGCAUAUCUACCCCCAUCUUCUAUCUUUACACUUGUCAACUUCCUUGUUUUAUAAUAACUGCUUUUAACAACCUUUUUAUUACUAUACCAUUUUGCAAAUUAAUUAUUAUGAAUUUAUAUAUAAAUAUAGAUAUUAUUUAAUUAAUUUUUAAUAUGUAUUUUAUAUUUGAAUAUAUAUUUUAUAAAAAUCAUUGAUUUUUUGUACAUAGAUAAUGACGUUCCUUUUUUUCAACCUUUGUUUUCUCAACCUUAUCUAGUCUACACAUGGAGUAACGUGGCUCAAUGGCCUCUCUUUCUCCCACCCUCGAUAAAAAUGUUGUUGAGAAUUUGUCCAAAGCAGAAGAACAAUAAUAUUCUUAAAUUAUCAGUGAUAAGCAUCAAGGACCUUGAGAGGAAAAUUAAAUGUGAUUCUUUCUAUUUUAUAAUCAUGUAUUGCUGCUGAUCUGUUAUCUUUUGUCUGCUUUUUUUCAUGCCCCAAAAUUCUGGAAGCCUAAGCUAUAGAAUGCAUAUAAAUGCAUGAAUAUGAGAGACAUCCAUUGCCCUUCUUCAUUCCAAGUGCAAUCUAGUCCACAAAGCUAAUAGCUACAACCCUCAAGGAUAUGGAGAAAGAAGAAAAUGAAGAAGAUGAAGAUGGAUAACUGGAGCAGUUUCAGUUUGACCAUGAUGCUACUCUCUUUUUGAAGAGAGAAGUAUGAACAAGGCAAGUCAUAGGAUGAUGCUAAGGGAAGGCAAAGCCUUUCUUCCGGAUUCAACUCAUGAAGCUGCUGCACCACUCUGCUGCAGUUUCACCCUACAAUCAAUGUUUGAAAUGUUGAUUGGUAUGGGGCUUUUAUUUGGUGUUUUAUGUUUCUCUUUUCUCCCCAUUCUUUAAACUCUAAUCACUUUGCAUAUGCUUGCUUGACUUAGAAGCCACAUCUGUUCACGUGUGUGUCAAAGAAGGCAAGCAGCAGAAACAAUAGGAGGUAGUGAAUGAUUUUAUGAAUAGGGAUUGUGGUAUUUGCCUUUGUUUUUGUUGUAAGCCAUCAAUAAAAGAUGUAAUCUAUUUCUUGGGUUCAUUAUCCAUGCUUAUCUGUUUUUAUCUGUCGUGGCAUGCCCAUGAUUAAGUUUGUUAUUUUAUUUUAUUUUCUAAUGGUUCCAUAUUUUGUAACGUAAUUUAGGCCCAGGGUAUGCCAAAUAGAACAAGGUUUUUAAACUUAAAAUUUUACCUAAAUGCAUAGUUUUUAAUAACUUGUAAGUAAGCAUGGUUCAUAUUAUGUAUCACUAAUCUGUAAGUCCAUGUAAAUCCGAACAUAAUGAUACUAUACAGCUGAC